CCAGCAGCACAAUGAUGAUGUCUCUGACUCUACUGCUGGCCACCCUGGGGCUCCUUGUUCAGGGUUCAUCAGGUGAUAUCACCGUGUCUCAGUCUCCUGAAUCUCAGUCUGUUGUUCCAGGUCAGACUGUCUCUAUCAGUUGUAAAGCCAGUAGAUCUAUAGGUGAUGACGUCAACUGGUACCUUCAGAAACCUGGGGAAGCUCCAAUACUCUUGAUUUAUGAUACUACAAAUCGCCAGUCUGGAGUUUCAGAUCAAUUUAGUGCAACAGCACAUCAGACUGACUUCACUCUGACCAUCAGUAGAGUCCAGGCUGAAGAUGCAGGAGUUUAUCACUGUCAGCAGAUAUCACUAGAGGUGGACUGGUACCUUCAGAAACCUGGAGAAGCUCCUAAACUCCUGAUUUAUCAUGCUACAAAUCGUCAGUCUGGAGUUUCAGAUCGUUUCAGUGAAAGUGGAUCUGGAACUGACUUCACUCUGACCAUCAGCAGAGUCCAGACUGAAGAUGCAGGAGUUUAUUAUUGUCAGCAGCAUAACAGCCGCCCGUUCACACAGUGA